rfam:Fukomys damarensis contig132929, whole genome shotgun sequence.
UGGGAUGCUGCUUAGUAGUAAGAGCACUUGUCUAGCAUGCCUCAGGUCCUGGGUUCAAUUCCCAGCAUCACAA